CCAAAAUCGUGGGACUGGUCUGAGUGAAAGUGAUAAGGCUUUGGCUCACCAGCCUUCACGAGAACAGGCAGAGGCGAGUUAAGUAGAUUUCCACGAGUGAAGAAAUCAACGCUGGGUAGCGUGGCUGAUACCAAGUUCCUCACCAUCCAAUUCUUUUCACCUUGAUUGUGUUAUGGAAACUGUUGGAGUCUGUGAAAUGCAGUUUGGAAUUUGAUCAAAUGAUCUAGUGCUCUUCCCUGUGUGGGGAACUCACUCAUGGAAAGACCAGAGAUGGGCACAGGAUUGUGAGCCACUCCAUUUCAAAACCUCGAGGAAGAUUGAAGCACUGAGGAGAAUGCGGAGGGGGUCAGUGAUCGCUCGUAACAGAGGCCACGGGGGUGACGACGGUCGAUAGCCGAGUAGUGGCAUUCAGACCUGGUGUGGCGGUUGCUUUUCAUGGAAAGACUGAGUUCAUGCAGCCACACUCCAAGAAAGUUGGUGGGAAGAUGACUUUCUUUCAGAUUUGUGGUGUUUUCUCCUGUGGCCGAUUGGCAGGAGGGUGAUCUGUUAAUUUUGUGAAAGGGAGGGGUUGAGGAUUUGGAGUCUGAUGUUCUUGUUGGCAGUUUUCUGUUAGGUUUUGUGUGGGUUUUGAUGCUAUUGUCACUGUUCUUUUCUGUGAGUGAAGGAUUGGGGAUUUAAUGUUAUUGUUGUUGUUUUUUGUCCUCUCAGCUGGAGGUGGGGGGGGGGGGCUUCAGAAUUUGUGCGUUUUGCUUCUUUUUCUUUUUCAUGCCAUUUGGGGAAAUUAAUGUAUUUUAUUUCAACAACUCGCAUGGCUUUUCUGUAUUUUAUGGCUAUCUGGAGAAGAUGAAUACAGUAUCAGAGUUGUAUUGUGCA